rnacentral:ncRNA from 1 species
UGAUAGCUGUGAAACGUGAGGUUGUUACCUUUAUGGUAAGUAUUCCGUGGAGCGAAUGUCAAGUUAGGAAACUGGCGACAA